rnacentral:rRNA from 1 species
CAGCAGCCGCGGGAACACGGAGGGUGCAAGCGUUAUCCGGAUUUAUUGGGUUUAAAGGGUCCGUAGGCGGACUUAUAAGUCAGUGGUGAAAGCCUGUCGCUUAACGAUAGAACUGCCAUUGAUACUGUAAGUCUUGAGUAUAUUUGAGGUAGCUGGAAUAAGUAGUGUAGCGGUGAAAUGCAUAGAUAUUACUUAGAACACCAAUUGCGAAGGCAGGUUACCAAGAUAUAACUGACGCUGAGGGACGAAAGCGUGGGUAGCGAACAGGAUUAGAUACCCCCGUAGUCCCUGUCUCUUAUAC